CGCUAUUGAAUGCACAACAAUGUCAACAAUGUCGUUGUAAUUGAACUGUAAAAUGUAAAAUACUAAAAUUUGAUCAAACCGCCCUUUUUUGAUUAGUAAUAUAAUAAUAAAUUUAAUUACACAUUCGUGCUCCUAAAAUAGACUUCCACCGGGUGUUUUAUCCUAAAAUUUCUUUCACUUUAUGACAUCGACUCGGAGUAGGCGGUGCUUUUUGAGCUAAACUCGUAAAUCGCUGACAGAAAAAGUUUGACUCAAACGAGGACAGGAUCGUAGGUUAAAUAAAAAUUACAUUAGCACAAGAAAAGAUGGACCGAACUCUUGACGGUUGGAGCACCAUGAUUUCGUGUGCGAACGAGAACAACAUAAAUACGGGUAUUGCGGCCGAGGAUGACAAUCUUAACUUUCGGCAGUUCUCUAACCUGUGGCUGGACCUAAGUGAUUCGACUAGACGCAUGUUGGAUUCUCCGAAUUGUCCCAAUAAUAUUCAAUUUAUGAAUGCGGAGGAUCCAGCUGUUCGCCCUAUGGCCGACCAAGAGGAGCCACAAGUCUAGCCUCCACCACAACGAGAAUCAUAAAAUUAAAAUAUAAAACAAAUAUUUCAUUAAAAACAGUCAUUGAACCGCAUAUUUAAUGACUUCUUCUCCUGUAUUGGACGUAUUUUGAAUACGAAGAAUAUCUGUUAUUUAUAAGACAUUUUGUUACAAACAUAUCCCCACUUUUAUAAUAUCCCUGUCCCCAAGGCAAACAGAGAAUAAAAAAAGAGAAUUUAAAUAU